GAGAAAGAGGACGAGAGGUCCGCAUGUGGCACUCCCUCCGCGAGCCUUGCACGGGUCAGAGGGCCUCCCUCCGGGCUUUCUUCUGGCCCCACCCCCUUCACCUGCAGCCGGGCUACACCUGUGCUCCCUCCCGCUGCCCUGGGGCCGGAAGUCUGGUGGGGAUCAGGCUGCCCUGGACACUGGCCUGGCUGUGCCCGAAUUUUGUCCCCACAGACCCUCCCCACGAACACCCAAGGAGAAGGAGAGCUGGGCGUGGUGGGUGUGGAGCUGCAGGUGGCUGGGACCAGGGGGCUCAGCCAGGGCUGGGGGCUGGGUCAUAUCAUGGGCCAGUGCUCUGGGGAGCCAGCCAGGAAAUCCAGAUUCCCUGGGUCGUCUGUGGCUUUAGCACAGCCUCCAAAUCCACGUGUCCAGGAAAGAGGAACCCUCUCUAACAUGGAAUGUUCCAGACCGCACCCCUCUCCUCUCUCCGCCCUUGCCCAACCCCAGGAAAAGUCCGGCAGCUGCAGGCUAGGGCCAGGAUUGCCCCUGUUCCUGUGCAUUGCCUGCUUCCUGGUCGUACUCCCAGCUUGCUGAGCCGCACAGAGGCCCCCCUGCCAGCCCCCCACCCUGUCCGGAGUAGGAGAUAAGCAGCAGCCCCAGCAGGCAGUGUCCACUGCGGGAUUACCAUGGGCUAAUCUAUUUGGAACCGGUUCUUUUCCUGCUCAGGAAAGCAGUGGUGCUCUGGGAGGCAUGGGGAUGUCCUGUUGUCCUUGCUUCCCUGUCCUGCGGGAACCAGGUGCUCCUUUAGACAGCGCCAUAUGCAUCCUUUGGGAGGGAUUCUGGCAUAGAUAGAAGGGGAUAUGGCAGGACCUUUGUUAGCCUGGGCUGCCUGGACUCAGAUUCUGUCUCUGCCACUUGGAGCUGUUAUGACCUUGACCAGGUAGAAGUUAUUUAACCAUUUUAUUUAUUUAUUUAUUUUUGUCUUUUUUGUCGUUUCUAGGGCCGCACCUAUGGCACAUGGAGGUUCCCAGGCUAGGGGUCUAAUUGGAGCUGUAGCCACUGGCCUACGCCAGAGCCACAGCAACGCGGGAUCCGAGCCACGUCUGCAACCUACACCACAGCUCACGGCAACACCGGAUCCUUAACCCACUGAGCGAGGCCAGGGAUCCAACCUGCAACCUCAUGGUUCCUAGUCGGAUUAGUUAACCACUGUGCCACAACGGGAACUCCUAUUUAACCACUUUAAAACUCAUGUAUAUAAUGCAGAGAUGACUAAGUUAAAUAACGUAGAAGGUGCUUAAUUAGCAAGUGCCUGGUACACAGUAAGUGCUCAGCUAAUGCCACCGACACUGUUGCCAUCGCUAUCAUUGACAGGAGCCAUGGAGAAGAAGGACACCAGGGCCAGGUGGGGGCUGGGCCAGGUGCGCUCAGGGCCAGGUGGAGUGGGCCAGGUGGGGGGGCCUGAUGGAGGCCAGGUCAGCUGGGGCAGGGCCAGGUAGGGCAGAGCCAGGUGGCCUGUUAGGAGGCCCGGUAUCCACUGUCCCCACCGUGUGUCCUCGUGUCUGCUGGACCUGGUGGCCUCAGCUCUUCUCCCUUCCUUCCUGCACACUCGCCUGUCUCUUCCUGGAAACUCUGCAACUCUAGCAGAAAUCUCCAGACAGGACAAGGUUCUUUAAGGGCGGAAUGAGGCAAACAGGUGCAGGGGACUACUCCCUGGGGACCGGUCUUUGUUCCUUGAGCGCUUACUGUGUGCCAGACUCUGGGCUAAGCACCACUAUGACUUACUCACUGACUCCAACAGCAGCUGGAUGCAGCUGGCGUUUUAGUCUAUUUCAUGAACGAGAAAAUCGAGGCUCAGAGAAGCUGAGUCAUUGGCCUGAAUUGAUCCAGUAAGGGUGUGGCUGGGCCAUGGUGUGUGCUCUCUCUCCUUUGUGGGCCUGUGUGGCUGGGGGAGGGGGUGGGGUCGCAGGCAGGCUGGGCAGCAGGGGGCCUGGGGCCAGGUGGGCGGCCCCUUUCUGGGCCAGAGGGAGGAGCCUGCAUGAUGCUCGGAGCAGCUACUCUCUUCUGAGGCCUGAGACCUGCACCCUGGGGACCUGCCUGGGCCUGUGAGGUGGGUUGGGGGUCAGCCAGACCCCUCCUCCCUGCAGGGAUCCUGCAGGGAUGGGGACCCCUGUGGAGAGGUGGGAUCUCAGCUGACCCUCUUGAAGCCUGGGGACAGGGGCCCCCCUCCCUGCAUGGGGACCACAGCCCUGCACUGCUUCUGGUCCAGGCCUGAACACUGUCCUUCCAUGUAUUUGAUCCCAUUGUCCAGUUGCUUGAAGGCAAGAGACUUGUUCUAUCAUGACCUGUAGCCUCUUUGCUUUUUUCAAAAAUUCAGUGUAAUAAUUUGUACUUUUGCUUGUUGAUGGAGAAAACUGUGAACUGUGAGCUCUGCCUGGAACCGUUCACAUGCGUUGCCUUGCUGAAGUCUCAGGCUGAGCCCGAGAUGUGGGUGCUGUCAUGACGCCCCUUAGAGAUGAGUUCCGCCACUUGCCCAAGGUCACACGUCUGGGAUGUGGUGGGAGGGACUGGGGCCUACCCCUGCUGCUUUCACGCGCUGGCUCCUUUUUGUCCCUGCCGCCUCCAAAGGCCACAGCUGCAAGGGGGCAGUGGCAGAAUUCGAGCUGUCCAGCUCUAACCUGUGCUCAUGUUCACUGUUGAACACAUAGGAAAACCGGGAAAAGAAAAAGGAGAGUAAACCUCGGACCAGCCCAUUAUCCAGAGGUGACGUCUGAUAACAUCUCGGGGUCCCCCUUCCAGAUGUUCCGUGUAUAGUACGUGAGUUAUGUGGGUUACGUAUUCCAUCCAGAACAUGCAUGUGCUGUUUUUGCAGCUCUUCGCUUCAGUGACCAGUUCUAGAACACCGUUCUCAUCAGGGGCGUCCUCCCGUGUCACCGUUUCGAUGGCUGCAGCCUCCGCCGUGUGCGUGCCCCAUAUUGCUACCUGCUCCGUUGUUUC
rnacentral:lncRNA from 1 species